UGUUAAGUAGCUUAGUUGGUUAAAGCGCCGGUCUAGCGUACACGGAGUCGUGAGUUCGAGUCUCACUAGGACUA
rnacentral:tRNA from 1 species